UACGGGGGGGGCUAGCGUUGUUCGGAAUUAUUGGGCGUAAAGCGCGCGCAGGCGGCUUCUUAAGUCUGAUGUGAAAGCCCCCGGCUCAACCGGGGAGGGUCAUUGGAAACUGGGAAACUUGAGUGCAGAAGAGGAAAGUGGAAUUCCAAGUGUAGCGGUGAAAUGCGUAGAUAUCUGGAGGAACACCGGUGGCGAAGGCGGCGUUCUGGACUGCAACUGACACUGAGAGACGAAAGCCAGGGGAGCAAACGGG
rnacentral:rRNA from 1 species